CAGACGAUCUCUGGAGCCAGCAGCUCCGCGGACACGUCGGUUGGUUUCUCUGCCUGGAAACACCGAAAACUAAACGGAACCAGCGGCCGACAGAGACGGACGGCUCUCACCGGAGACAGAGGGGGUCGACUAGUGCUUUUCUUCAGCUUUCACUUGCACUGGUGACGUUGAUGAUGGGUGGACAGCAGAGCCAUGAGCAGAAGGAGAGAGAAGAGGAGACUGAAAAACAAGAAUCUGACAAGACUGAGGACUCAGGAUCAGAACCUGCUGCACCUGAGGACGCCCCAGGAGAGCUGCCCCAGUGCCAGAUGGGAAACAGGAAGGUGGACAACAUGUGCUUCAUGAUCUCGUGCACAAACUGGUACUGAACUGAACUGAGAUGAAGAAUAAAGAAGACACUGAGGGGAGUUCUCGGACGGAUGCUGCAUUCAUGAACUCACCUAGAAAAGAAUCCAAAAGAUGGAAAAGCCUGAGGUGCCUGGAUCUGGUUUGGAAAAUUCUGGAGUGUUGAUGAAUGUUUUGAAGAUGACUGAGGACUUAUUAAAUAAAAAAAUCCAACUGAUAAAUUAUGUAUAAUAAAUGGAUAUAAAUAUAAGCUACAAACAGACUGCUGUUGAAAAUUCCUCAUUCAGAGAAUCCUGUCUUUGAGGUGGGGAGCACAGAGAUCAAAUAAAUAUUGGGUCUCAGAUAUGGAGGGAAUUUUUUUUUUCAAAAUUUGAGACUUAUACACAAAAACUUUAGCUUUAAAACAAAGACACGGACAAGUAUUCUCUUUACAAAGUGUGAAGUUUAUAUUCAGAGUAUGGAAGCCCAUUCUUGUUCCCUUAGACUGAUCAUCUAUGAGUUUUUUUAUUCAUUCAAAAGAAAUCAUGUUGAUUCAGGGUAACAACUUGAAACUAAAAACACAUGAUAAGCAGACUCUGUUAAUUAAAUCAGAUCUUAUAACUCCUCUCCUGUUCCACUUCUCUUUGAACACUUCAACUUUCAUCUUUAUUUCCUCUCUCUGAGCAGGAAAAAACAGAUUUCAAUGCUUCACAUGCCUUCUUUGAAAGACAUGAAGUGUUUUCCUUCCUCAAAACAAAAGUAUUUACACAAAAACUACUUUGAAAUUGUGUGCCUGAAGCAAACAGGUUAAAGUAGAUGCCAUUAGAGUUUCUUUAAGAUCAUUUAUUGAAAAAUAAGUGUUUUGUAAUCGCUAAACUCAAAAAUGUGAAAAAGAAAUAGAAACAGCUUGAUGCUUAAACAUUAUUAAAGUGACUCAAAUGUA